AUUGAACGCUGGCGGCAGGCCUAACACAUGCAAGUCGAGCGAGCAGCGGACGGGUGAAUAAUGGAUGGGGGUCUGCCCGAUAGAGGGGGAUAACUACUGGACACGGUGGCUAAUACCGCAUACUAUCAGAUGAACCCAUAGGAGCUUAGCUAGUAGGUGGGGUAAAGGCUCAACAAGGCGACGAUCUCUAGCUGGUGUGAGAGGAUGAUCAGCCACACUGGGACGGAGACACUGCCCAUACGCCUGCGGGAGGCAGCAGUGGGAAAUAUGGCACGAUGGGCGCAAGUCUGAUGCAGCCAUGCCGCGUGUAUGAAGAAGGCCUGAGGGUUGGAAAGUACUGUCAGCGGGGAGGCGUUACCCGCAGAAGAAGCACCGGCUAACUCCGUGCCAGCAGCCGCGGUAAUAC
rnacentral:rRNA from 1 species